UACAGAGGUCCCAAGCGUUGUUCGGAUUCAUUGGGCGUAAAGGGUGCGUAGGCGGGUCUUUAAGUCAGGGGUGAAAUCCUGGAGCUCAACUCCAGAACUGCCUUUGAUACUGAGGAGCUCGAGUCCGGGAGAGGUGAGUGGAACUGCGAGUGUAGAGGUGAAAUUCGUAGAUAUUCGCAAGAACACCAGUGGCGAAGGCGGCUCACUGGCCCGGUACUGACGCUGAGGUGCGAAAGCGUGGGGAGCAAACAGG
rnacentral:rRNA from 1 species